rnacentral:rRNA from 1 species
UCGAGAAUCUUCCGCAAUGGGCGAAAGCCUGACGGAGCGACACCGCGUGCAGGAUGAAGGCCUUCGGGUUGUAAACUGCUGUCACGCUCUAGGAAUGUCGUAGCGCCAAUACCGCUGCGAUUGACCAAGGCGAAAGGAAGCACCGGCUAACUCUGUGCCAGCAGCCGCGGUAAGACAGAGGGUGCUAACGUUGUUCGGAAUUACUGGGCAUAAAGCGCACGUAGGUGGUCUGCUAAGUCACAUGUGAAAUCCCCCGGCUCAACCGGGGAAUCGCGCGUGAUACUGGCAGGCUCGAGGCCGGUAGGGGUGAGCGGAACUCCAGGUGGAGCGGUGAAAUGCGUAGAUAUCUGGAGGAACACCGGUGGCGAAAGCGGCUCACUGGACCGGAUCUGACACUGAGGUGCGAAAGCUAGGGUAGCAAACGGGAUUAGAUACCCCCGUAGUCC